AUGGGAGGUGGCGAGGCCCAGAUAGCAGAAGCCUUGUGGCGACCGCAGCAAGAGCAGGGGAAUGAGCAGAUCAAGAGGAAGGUGCACAGGCAGCAGGGCCGGGCCAGGCCAGGCCACAGGGGGAGUGGCCACCAGGAAGCAGGUAGGCAGUGGGCAGCCACUGAGCUGCGAGGCGACCUGGUGCUGCCCAUGGAGUAUCGUAUCAUCCUGCCUGUGUCCGCAGAUGAGUAUCAAGUAGGGCAGCUGUAUUCUGUGGCUGAGGCCAAUAAAAACAAAACGGGUGGUAGUGAAGACACACAGGUCCUGGUGGAAGAGCCCUCGGAGAAGGCUGGAGAGAAGGGCCAGUACAGCCUCAAGAUCUACCACUUGCACAGUGAAGUACUCAUAUCUGUCCAAAUGCUGGCCCCAAAGGCAGCAUUGAAUAUACAUGAGAAAGCAUGGAAUGUCUACCCUUUAUGUAGAACCAUUACUACAAAUGAGUACAUGAAAGAUUUUCUGAUUAGAAUUGAGCCCCGGCACCCAGGAAAAUGAGCAUCAGCUGGAGCCUGGGACAUGGAAAUAUAUAUAUGUAGACAUUGCAGAUCGAAGCCAAGUACUUCGUAAGGAUUACGAGGCAGAGGAAGACCCAGCAAAAUGUAAGUCUGUCAAAACAGGCCGAGGACCCUUAGACCCAAAUUGGCAGCAAGAACUUGUAAAUCGAAAAGAUGGCCCGUAUAUGUGGGCAGACAAAGUGGUUACUGUCAAACUCGAGUGGCGAGGCCUGCAGAACAAAGCGGAGAACUUUAUACGCAAGCAAGAGAGGCGUCUGUUUACAAAUUUCCACAGGCAGCUGUUCUGUUGGCUCGAUAAGUGGGUUGACCUGACUAUGGGUGACAUUCGAAGGAUGGAAGAAGAGAAAAAGAGACAGCUGGAUGAGAUGAGACAAAAGGACCCAAUGAAAGGAAUGACAGCAGAUGACUAAAGCCACCCCUCCCCUUUCUGCACUUUUUGCAAGACAGUGGUCAACAGGAAGGCCCAGCAGCUCCAGCCUCCUGAGUGACAG